GACAGAACAUAACCCAGCUGGAGGGUUCCAUCCCAAGAAGGGGAUCACCAACAGACCUGAAUAGGGUUUGGUGGAGGUGACUGGAGAAAGCCCCUGCAAUGUGGUGCCCAGCCAUGAGGGGGUAUGUGAGUGGAUUUACACCUGGAUACUCAUCUGUGCCUACAGCUUCUUGACAAUCGCAUCGCACACAAAUUGCCAUAACAAAUCAAAAAAUGGCCCGUCUGCUCCAGUAUCCUGGUAGCCAACACCAGAUGAUUCAGAAAAAAGCUUCAAGUGCAAUAGGACCCAAGCCCUGACUGAGGCCUUUGGUAUCUACUUGAAUACUACCGGUUUUCAUCUGUUUCCCGGCCAUCCAUCCAUCCAUCCACCCACCCAACCAUCUACAUAACAAUCCAUCUUUCGCUCCUUCAUCCCUCCCAUCAAGCUACCAUCCCAUCCACGCAGAUUUCUCCUUCCAUAUUAAUGACUCC